rnacentral:misc_RNA from 1 species
GCAAACUUGGUCAUUUAGAGGAAGUAAAAGUCGUAACAAGGUAACCGUAGGUGAACCUGCGGUUGGAUCAUUACUGAACUGCGGAAAAUUGACCCCCUUUCGUGUGAACUGUUAUUAUUUCUUUGGUGGCCCACAAAAUAUGUCGCCGCGUUUUUUUAUAUUUGGUGCUCACUUGACUGAGGUCUUGAGAGUUCGGAUAUAGAAAGAACACGGCUUCGGGCCACCGGACUGUUAUUAAUUCUUUGUUUAACGUACAUUUUGUUGUAUGAGUUGAAUCUCUACUCUAAUAAACAAAAGCAACUUUUGACAAUGGAUCUCUUGGCUCUUGCAUCGAUGAAGAACGCAGC